rnacentral:rRNA from 1 species
CAUAGGUUAAUGAGGCGAACCGGGGGAACUGAAACAUCUAAGUACCCCGAGGAAAAGAAAUCAACCGAGAUUCCCCCAGUAGCGGCGAGCGAACGGGGAGGAGCCCAGAGCCUGAAUCAGUGUGUGUGUUAGUGGAAGCGUCUGGAAAGGCGCGCGAUACAGGGUGACAGCCCCGUACACAAAAAUGCACAUGCUGUGAGCUCGAUGAGUAGGGCGGGACACGUGGUAUCCUGUCUGAAUAUGGGGGGACCAUCCUCCAAGGCUAAAUACUCCUGACUGACCGAUAGUGAACCAGUACCGUGAGGGAAAGGCGAAAAGAACCCCGGCGAGGGGAGUGAAAAAGAACCUGAAACCGUGUACGUACAAGCAGUGGGAGCACAGAGCAAUCUGUGUGACUGCGUACCUUUUGUAUAAUGGGUCAGCGACUUAUAUUCUGUAGCAAGGUUAACCGAAUAGGGGAGCCGAAGGGAAACCGAGUCUUAACUGGGCGUUAAGUUGCAGGGUAUAGACCCGAAACCCGGUGAUCUAGCCAUGGGCAGGUUGAAGGUUGGGUAACACUAACUGGAGGACCGAACCGACUAAUGUUGAAAAAUUAGCGGAUGACUUGUGGCUGGGGGUGAAAGGCCAAUCAAACCGGGAGAUAGCUGGUUCUCCCCGAAAGCUAUUUAGGUAGCGCCUCGUGAAUUCAUCUCCGGGGGUAGAGCACUGUUUCGGCAAGGGGGUCAUCCCGACUUACCAACCCGAUGCAAACUGCGAAUACCGGAGAAUGUUAUCACGGGAGACACACGGCGGGUGCUAACGUCCGUCGUGAAGAGGGAAACAACCCAGACCGCCAGCUAAGGUCCCAAAGUCAUGGUUAAGUGGGAAACGAUGUGGGAAGGCCCAGACAGCCAGGAUGUUGGCUUAGAAGCAGCCAUCAUUUAAAGAAAGCGUAAUAGCUCACUGGUCGAGUCGGCCUGCGCGGAAGAUGUAACGGGGCUAAACCAUGCACCGAAGCUGCGGCAGCGACACUAUGUGUUGUUGGGUAGGGGAGCGUUCUGUAAGCCUGUGAAGGUGUGCUGUGAGGCAUGCUGGAGGUAUCAGAAGUGCGAAUGCUGACAUAAGUAACGAUAAAGCGGGUGAAAAGCCCGCUCGCCGGAAGACCAAGGGUUCCUGUCCAACGUUAAUCGGGGCAGGGUGAGUCGACCCCUAAGGCGAGGCCGAAAGGCGUAGUCGAUGGGAAACAGGUUAAUAUUCCUGUACUUGGUGUUACUGCGAAGGGGGGACGGAGAAGGCUAUGUUGGCCGGGCGACGGUUGUCCCGGUUUAAGCGUGUAGGCUGGUUUUCCAGGCAAAUCCGGAAAAUCAAGGCUGAGGCGUGAUGACGAGGCACUACGG